GGAAACUUUGAAAGAAGAGGGAAGAAGGGAGUCAGUCAUAUGAACGUCCACCAUGAAGAACCUCCUGCAGACCUGGACGUGGGUUUUUAUCUCUGUACUCCACACUAAUGAAGCCAUUAUGGGGGCCUCCGUAGUGUACGUGCCUGAGGAGCACUUCCUGUUCCUGGCAUGCAGACGUGGUUCAGAUGUGGAGUGGACGCAUGAAAUCGUGAGGAUCAAUGCAACUAAACACAUGAGCAGUGAGUCUCGGCUGGACUGGAGCAAAUACCAGCUCCUCCCAGACGGAACUCUCUACAUCAGAAAGCUGGAGAAGUCGGACCGCGGACGAUACUACUGCAACGGCCAGCUGGUGGCAGAGGUCAUCAUACUCACAGGUGAGAGCUUUGUGGUUUCUGAGGGCAGUACUCUGUACCUGCCGUGUUCUUUCUCCGGGAAGCUCAAGCAGAGGUGGGCCUAUAAACACACAGCAGCCUCAAAGCGAGAGUACAUCUCCACCAUGCUUAAGAACGGGACGGUGACUCAGGAGAGAGAAGAUCCAGACAGCAGGUUCUUUCACUCUUACAACCACCUGCACAUCAACAACCUGCAGCUCUCUGACUCCGGCAUCUACCUGUGCAACGGCCAUGAGGUCGCUAAUGUUAUGGUCAUUCACACAGAGAGUGAAACUUUCCAGACUGCUACAACAGAUUCUACAGAAGUAGAAAAUAACGUCCCUUAUAUGCCUGAAAAUGCGACUCUGGUUCUUUUCCUGGCGUUCACUGUGCUGGCUGUGGUUGUGGUCACUCUGCUCUCCGUCAUUCUCUGUCUAAGGUUUAGAAGCAGAAGAAAAGAUCCAGCGCCCAGGCAGGAGGAUACUGAGCUGCAGCUGCAGAAGACUUCAGCUCGAGUUCUAGCAGGUCCGAAAAGGAGCCCCGGCGAUGAGGAGCAUUCUGUGCCUCUGACAAACCACUGUGAGAUCCAGUACGCGUCACUGGGAAGGCAAAACUGGAGAGCCAGAGGAUGGACACAGAACAGUGGGCAGCAGGUCAUCUACUCCACACUGCUGCAUGGUCCAACCAGCCCUCUACCCACUUCAUCAAUUACUCAGAGACUCUAGAUCCAGCUCUCCACCCAACUCAUCAGUUACGCAGACUCUAGAUCCAACCAGCUAUCUAACAAAAUAACAAUUACUCAGAGACUCUAGAACUAACCAAUUCUCUACCAAAUGCUUCACUUACUCAGAGACUUUAGAUACAACCAGUUUUCUAGCAAAAUUGUGAAUUACUCAGAGACUCUAGAACCACCCAGCUCUCUAAAAAACUCAUCAAUUACUCAGAGACUCUAGAUCCAACCAGCUCUUUAAUAAACUCAUCAAUUAUGCAGACUCUAGAUCCAACCAGCUUUCUAACAAAAUAACAAUUACUCAGAGACUCUAGAAUCAACAAACUCUCUACCAAACAGAACAAUUGCUCAGAGACUCCAGAUACAAUGAGCUCUCCCCCAAACUCAUCAAUUUAUCAGAGACUUUAGAUCCAACCAAUUCUCUACCAAACACAUCAAUUAUUCAGAAACUCUUGAUCCAACCAACUCUCUACCAAACUCAACAUUUAUUCAAAGAGUCUAGAUCCAACCAGCCCUCUACCCAACUCAUCAAUUACUCAGAAACUCUAGAUCCAACCAACCCUCUACCCAAUUCAUCAAUUAUUUAGAGACUCUGGAUCCAACCAACUCUCUCCCAAACCCAUCAUUUACUCAGAGACCCUAGAUACAAGUUACAUCAGGGGGCAGAACCUUCUCAUACAAAGCCCCCCAGCUUUGGAACAAUCUUCCAGUCAGUGUUUGGGACUCAGACACAGCCUCAGUCUUUAGGUCUGGGCUAAAAACUUACUUCUUUGGUGGAGGCAUUGGUAUUUAGUUUUCCCUGUUAGAGAAAAGGUGCAGAUCUAGGGGUUCAUGGUCAUAGAGUAGUCUGGUAAACUGGGAGUGUUGGUGCUGUCGUCUCACUGCUCUCACUCACUCACUCACUCAGGCUUGUUGACAGUGGAGUGGAGGGGCUCUGACAUCUCAGGUAGAAUCAUGUCUCUGUUACCUUUGUGGUUUCUCCCAUUUAGUUAGGCUGUAAUACCUAGACCUGCCGGAGUCUCUGUUGCCCUGUUAAUACUGUAAUCUGUGAUCGGUCACUCUUUACAGAACUAACUCUCUGUGUGUUUUCCUGUCUUUGCUGAGUUGAACAGCAGCCCAUCCUGUGCGUCUGAUGCUGUCGCUUCAUUCUGCCUUGAUCGGGUGUUACUGCUCGCCAGCCUUCUGGACCGUUUCAGCCUUCUGGACCGAUUUGACCACCAUUGAGCUUCAUGCUGUAGAACGCUGUGCAAACCUCACGGAGGAUCAUGAACUGACCCUCCUGAUGCUGCUGCUGCUGCAUAAACUAAAACCAAUCUAAUGAACCGUUGCACCACCUGUUUUUCCCUGUUUUGUACUAUAAUAUUUUAUUCUGACGCUGUUUGCUAUCCUGCGUCGACCAGAGGAGGAUGAUUUUCAGUCUUGGUUCCUCUCAAGGUUUCUUCCUCUUGUUAUUAGGGGGUUUUUCCUUUCCACUGUCACCACUGGUGAUGCUCAUGGGGCCUCGGACCCAGAUUUUUCUGUAAAGCUGCUUUGUGCCGACACCUGUUGUAAAAGCCUCUAGUCUCUGGAUCCAAGCAGCUCUUUACCAAACACAUCAACUACUCAAAGAGAAUUAAUUAACUCAAUUUAUUAAAACUCAUUUCAUCAAAGUCAUUUUUCUUUGGUCGAAAAAUAGAGGGAAUUCAAGUAAUCGCAGAAAAUGUAAAUAAAUUCAUAAUUAUGCAUAAAAUAUGCAUGCUCUUCAAAAUUGUCCUAGAAAGAAAUCGGAUUGCACACGUCACAAUUAGCCCUGCAAGAGUAGCUAUGCUAAAAUACACGCUAAUAACAUGCAUAUUUGAAGACGGCGCACUCACAAAACAUCAGUACUGCAAUUUUCUUGCCAUGUUUUUUAAUGACUAAGUUUGAGGGUCCAUUCAUGUGUCUGUCAUAAAUGACAUAAGACUGAACCCACAACUUAACGUUGUGGUAUUUAAAAGCAGAAAGCUCUCAUUUCUAAUCUAAUUCAUUGAGAGGGAACAUAAGAGGAGGUUAAGUUUGCCUUCGAGCCGUAACAUUUCACCAUCAAUAUCUCUACACAACUCUCCCUUCCACCGUCCAGAUAACAGUACUGUGACCACCAGCCCCAAGUUGCAUUAACACAGCUGAAAUCACAGUCAUUUCCUUUCACACUUUAUUCAGUCAAAGCUUAUAACAGACAGGAAACAGAGCUGACAGGUCAGCAGGAUAAUACAGUCAUAAUGAUGCUACGCUUUAUAGCGGCUCCGCUGCCGCUUUGCAGUCAUUUCUAAGCUUUCUUUUUUUCAUCAAAAAUACAUUUUUCAAACGCUCAGCGUGUUUUUUUCUGACCUUUCAACUUUAUUUUUAACCUAUUUUAUUUUGAUCAGCUUACGGAGAAAACUUAUGGAAAUAAAAACAGUGUAAUAAAUUGCAAUAUGAUACAAAUAAAGACUUCUGUAAUCUUGUUGAAGAAGAACCGGCUUCUGUAGGAGCUUAUAUAGUACUGCUUAAUGAAGACAUAUUGCUGCAGAGGUGUCAAAUUCAGGUCCAGAAAGUAAAAGUCCUUCCCAGGAUUUUGUUCCAACGGGCUGGCUUCUCUAGUUAGAUCACACCACCAGCAGAGCUGUCCAGCCUGUUGGAACAAAAUCCUGGGAAGGAUUUUUACUUUCUGAACCUGGAUUUGACACCUCUGCUCAUGGAACAAAACCUUGAAUCUCCAGAAAAAGUAACUUUACAGGGGAAGGAAGAAACAUUUCUAACUUUCACUGGAAGUGGAUGUCAACAAAUUUCUAUUCAUCUGUUCAUUGUGAAAUUUUGACAAAGAACAACUUUUCAAAUUAUGCGAGAAAAUAAAAAAGGCAAAAACGGAGAUACAAAGUUUUUCUCUGACAGAGACGAUGCACUCUGACAGACAGAUGGGUGUUCGGCUUAAACUCCACGAUCGGUGGGGAUCUUUUUGGCAACCACGUCGUAGAUCACGUGGUCAGCAGGUGCUGGCUGCCUCUCCUGGGUCUGUGCGGUGUGUCUGAGACUUGCGUAAUGCAGAUCCGCCGCCUACAACGGCAGAAACAGGCAGCAGGAAUCAGACAACAGGAAACAGAGUCUGUAAGACUCCAGCAUAGAAACACAAGGGUGGGGAACUGAAGGCAGG
ensembl:lncRNA